rnacentral:rRNA from 1 species
CCUACGGGGGGCAGCAGUGGGGAAUAUUGCACAAUGGGGGAAACCCUGAUGCAGCAACGCCGCGUGAGUGAAGAAGUCAUUCGUGAUGUAAAGCUCUAUCAGCAGGGAAGAAAAUGACGGUACCUGACUAAGAAGCCCCGGCUAACUACGUGCCAGCAGCCGCGGUAAUACGUAGGGGGCAAGCGUUAUCCGGAUUUACUGGGUGUAAAGGGAGCGCAGACGGCAGCGCAAGUCUGAAGUGAAAUCCCAUGGCUUAACCAUGGAACUGCUUUGGAAACUGUGCAGCUGGAGUGCAGGAGAGGUAAGCGGAAUUCCUAGUGUAGCGGUGAAAUGCGUAGAUAUUAGGAGGAACACCAGUGGCGAAGGCGGCUUACUGGACUGUAACUGACGUUGAGGCUCGAAAGCGUGGGGAGCAAACAGGAUUAGAUACC